UACAGAGGUCUCAAGCGUUGUUCGGAUUCAUUGGGCGUAAAGGGUGCGUAGGCGGAUUGCUAAGUCAGGGGUGAAAUCCUGGAGCUCAACUCCAGAACUGCCUUUGAUACUGGCGACCUUGAGUCCGGGAGAGGUGAGUGGAACUGCGAGUGUAGAGGUGAAAUUCGUAGAUAUUCGCAAGAACACCAGUGGCGAAGGCGGCUCACUGGCCCGGUACUGACGCUGAGGCGCGAAAGCGUGGGGAGCAAACAGG
rnacentral:rRNA from 1 species